rnacentral:lncRNA from 1 species
CCAAACCCAUCAAAGUGUUGGCCUCACUUAGGAGCCAUCGAUGGUGAGCUUCUAUCCCAUUUCAAUUGAUGGGCCCUUGUUGGGCUCUUGGCCUGCUUCAAUUUGGACAAGCCUGCCUCCCCUAUUACUAUAUCAUGCGGGCUUGGACUCUUCUCAUGGCCCAAGCCCACCGACUCAUCAGAUGGUCUGAUCUCCAUCAGGAUCCAAAAUGAUGACCUGACCCCCAUUUUGACUCAUUCGAGUUACCUCGUCUGAGUUUGAGCCCCCUAAACUAUUGAUCGAGUGAUUUACCCCAGGCUACCUUGAUGGGAUCUGAAUUGGGUGGCGAGUUAGUUGAGCCCAGUUGCUUUAUUGAUGUACCUAAUCUAGAUAUAGAUAAGUCUGGGAUAGACUCGACCUCCUUCCUCACCUUCAGUCUAGCUUUGGAUAUCCUAAGUUUUCAGAUUCGAGAGGUAACUAGCCAAGGGCCAAGUCAUGGAUGCUUACCGGUUGCUAGAGUGCCUUCUCCCUAGUCAUCCUCCAAUGGAUCGGCCCUCUUCUUCACCACCAUC